CCUCCUUCCCAAUCCCCUCGUGUCGCACCAGCUGAACCCUAGCCCCUUUCCCCGAUCCCCACAGCAGCCGCACCCUCUCCUCGCUCACAGCCGCCUCCUCUCCUCUCCCCCACGUCGCCGGCCUUGUCUCUCCCCCACGCCGCGGCCUUGUCUCUUGGCUCGUCUCCUCCUCUCUUCCAUGCCUCCUUGGUUCCAGAUUGGGAUCUGGUCGCCGUCGUGCGAGAGCAGGGCAACAGGGUCUUCGCGGAGGAGUGGAGGGGGAGGAUGCGGACGACAGGGCGAAGGAGGUGGCUGGCAAGGAGGACAAGCAGCAGGGGGGGAGAAGGGUGACGCCUUGCACACCGUCUCCUCCCCGCGGCGGUUGGCCGGUCGACUCGUCGCGCCACCGCGUCCUCACCUCCCCUGCGCCAUGAGAGGCGCCGUCUCUGCUUCCACCCCCGCUUCCUGCUUCCUUCCUCCUUGGCACCACAGCUGCCGCUCUACUCCCUCCCUUGUCAGCCACCGGCUCAGGAACCUCCCUCGGUUGGGCCAGGGCAGAAGGCCAUGGCGAAUCUUGCGCCCCUGGAAGAAGCAGCAGGGUUGGUGGAGCGUCGAAUACGGGCGGGGUCAACGGUUGAGGGAGGGUCGCCCACCGAAGCAGCAGGAGAAAGACCUUGAGUGAAGUUGCAUCAUCCAACAUAGCAAGAUGAAGUACUCAGAAAAAAUUGCAGCAAGUGCGAUUGAUAGUCAAGGAAUUGAUUUGAUUCUGAAUCUUCUGUUCUUCAGGCUUACUGGUCUUGGUUCAGUUUGAAGGGCUCUCCGGGCUUAAGAUCGUGGUUUCGUUAGAAUUAGAUAAUUUCUUUGCUUGGUACUCUUGCCGGUGGUGGUAGGCUUUACUUUGUGGUAUAGGUUCUGUUGUCGGUGACACCUCAUGAAUUUUCUGUUAGAUUUAGCAGCCAUACAUACUGAAAUGGGACACCUUUGGACAUUCCCUUGCUAUUUCAACAGUCUAAUUACUCCAUGUAAAAACUGCAUCCAUUUUGGUAUGUGAUACUGCAAGUGUAAAUUUAGAACUGGACCUUACAGUCUAGCUUCAUUGUCUGUCCAUCAUGGUUAUGUGCAUACUGCAUAAAAAUGGAGUAUCCUUAUGCUCAUGUGAGCUUGCUAUUGUGCCUUGCAUGUGCGUUAAAAUGGAGAGUUCUUUACCUAAGAUCCUGGUCUUUGUUCUUUCUUACAUGGGAUCUUGAUCUUAGCCUGCCACCAAUGUCAAUUAUAUUUACUGAAAGACGUUAGGCUUGCUAAUCUAUUUAAUGACAGUAUAGAUCACAUGCCUACUGUCAAUGGCAAAGCGUUGUCGGCAUUAUGAUAAUCUAAAAGACCCCUCUGCAGUUUCUGUUAUUGUUUUAGUUUAAAGUAAGCAGUCAGCAUACAACAACCUUUCUUCAGUAUGAACAUAGAUGAUGUAUUGUUGCAGCUUAGGGUAUCCUAUUGACAUACUUUUGAACUGAACAACUUCCAGAUGUGGCUUCUCAACUACUCCCUCGUUCCUACAUAUUUGUCUUUUUAGAGAUUUCAAAUGGACUACCACAUACGGAUGUAUAUAGACAUAUUUUAGAGUGUAGAUUCACUCAUUUUGCUUCGCAUGUAGUCACUUGUUGAGAUCUCUAGAAAGACAAAUUUUUAGGAACAUAGGGAGUAGGCUACAAUGACAUCAACUCUUUGUGCCUAGAGCUAAGCAGUAUAAAAAUAGUAGAUAGACAUGUGCUUAUUAUCAUGUAGAGUUGGAGAAAAUGCAAAUAACCAUGCUUGAAUACAAGUCCUUCUGGUAAAUCUGGCCACUGCUGACAUUGGACAUGUCUUGAUGUAUUUAUUUUCUCAGAUUGUGAGGUAGAUAAAGCCUGUUUGUCAUCCCAUUUGUCGUUCAUUUACAUAACAUGUCGGUUUUAUUGUCGGAUUCGUCGGACCAAUGAUUUUGCCAUUCGGAAGCUCAUGCUUACGUUAAGUUGUAUGGCUACAAUUUUCUCUGUAUAUACACAGAUACACUUCCUUCCUGAGAUAAUUAUAAUCAUUUGUUCCUGGUAGUAUCAUUGUACUUGUUCACUUGUUCCUCUGUUUUUUUCUUCUCUUGUUGCUUUAUUGUGUAUUCUGCCCAUGUGCUGCAGUGCUCAUUUUUGUCUUUCCCUAUUGUUUAUUGUCUCAGGAUGACGCUUGAUUUCAGCCUCGAGGAACUAGAUGUAGAACAUUUGCAUUGCAAAACUGCAGGCUUUUCUUUUUAUGGUAUGGCACACUAAUCCUUUCUUCGUUUAUCACGUUUUGUAUCAAUAAUUGCGUCAUUCACUUAACAGUUUUGAUAUAUUCUGGAUUUUAUUUCAAGUUGUCUUAUUGUAUCUGGACACAAACUUGUCCAUGUUUUAAAGAUGUUCAUGUAUUAAUGGUCUGUUUAUCUGGUAAGUUUGAUACACUAUUCUCUCUUGAGAACAAGACGCACAGUUUAUGAAUAUAAAAUUUCAUGCUUCAUAGUGAUCAAUAGUUCGGUUUGUUUUCCAGGGUCCCAAGAGCUUGGCUUAGGUUUCUUCUUUGCAAAUAAAAAUGUUCUCUGCAUAGUGGGUACAUGUACUUUUGAUAGAUGGUGUAUUGUUGCAGCUUAGGGUACCUGGCAUGAAGAACUCGACAUGCUUUUCCAGGAGUUUGUUGAGGAAAUGCCUUUAUUCGUUGGAAAAUGGCGUAUCAUUUACAAGUAUUCCAGGCUACACGCUAGGUAGCUUCUUAGUAACGACUGUUUGCCUCUCCCAUCAACGUCAUUGUCUCUUGCAUAAGAGACCAAGGUGGCUUAUGAGUAACACGUUUCUCCUUGCCGUCGGCAGUAGCGAAGAGUAUAGGGGAACCGGCCGCGAUCGCCCAAGGAGCAGAGCCGCACGGGUGCUGGUCCUGCCGUCGCCAGAGCAGAGCGGAGGAAGCCGAUGCAGGGUCGAGGAGGGGCACGAGUGAGGGUCAUUUGGUUGUACUGCAUCUGCCAAAGCACUAUUGAGACAACGAAUUUCAGCUAUAUUAGGAGCUGAACCAUAUUAAGUAUGUGCAUCCUGGGUGGAAUGCUUUCUGUUCAUGAGCUGGCCUCCCAGCAUGUACUGUUGAGAAAAGAAAAGAAGGGAGCUUUCAAGUUCUUAUGAAAAGCAAGAGAGCUUCUAAGUUCUACACACUAGAGCUGGUGUACACGCGUUCUCAGAGCUCAUGUCCAGGGCUUCAUCAGAGCUAUUUUCUAUGCUGGAAACCUAAAACAACAAAGAUUUUCAAUCCACCCAGACUAAUCAAAGUAUGCUACUAUUUGUCUAAAGUGGAACGGAUGUUCGUCACCUUUGACUAAGCUGCUGAGCCCAAGAAAUGUGGCAGACUGGUGGCCUAGCUGUUCAACUUCUCAACACGAUUGCAUCACAGAUAUGGAUAAGAUGGUCAUUGUUGGUGAUAAUAGUUUUGGGGAGCAGAAGAGUCGUCACCGGUGCAGGCGCAAGAAGCAUGAUGUGAGGAUGUUGGAUGCUUUGAGAUGAAAAUCAAAUUUAGUGAUAUUUUUUAUGAAGAUCAUUUUAUCGGGACACUCAGACAACAUAUCAUUAUGUUCAGCAGUUCCAUCGAAUAUCCAGGCCUUGAGGUGUUUGGUAAACUACGAGGCUCUGCGGUUUGCCGAACCAGUAAGGGUUCUUGCAGACGAUAUGGUUGUUCGAAUGAUCAAAAGGAGUUCUUUGGCUGGUGGGAAAUAUGUCUCGGUGCAUCUCCGUUUCGAAGAGGAUAUGGUGGCUGGAAGGAGAAAAUUGAAAUGGGAAAUGCCCGUGAAAGGAGCUGGAGAGGGAAGUUUCACUGACCUGGUCGAGUUAUCAAUUCCGAGGCAAACAGAAGGGAUGGGAAAUGCCCACUUACUCCUCUAGAGGUUGGUAUGAUGAUGCGAGGCAUGGGGUUUGACAAUAUAACCUUCCUCUACGUUGCCUUCGGUAAAAUAUACAAUGCUGCAAAAUACAUGGCUCCCCUUCGCCAGAUGUUCCCUCUUUUACAAACCAAGGACACUCUUGCAUUGUCUGAAGAGCUUGCUGAGUUUGAGGGGUACUCUUCUCGGUUAGCAGCAUUAGAUUACACCGUCUGUGUUCAGAGCGAAGUGUUUGUGAUGACUCAAGGGGGGAACUUCCCUCACUUUUUGAUGGGAUACAGGCGUUACCUGUUAGGAGGGAAUAUCUGGUCAGUUUGAGCUGCUAUUAUAUCGUCAACAAAGUAUUACAAAUCACACCGAAUCAGUUUCAGUUUUGAGUAUAUGCUAGAAUAUUUCAGCAAAUCAAACUACGGAAGCAGUUUGCUGCCCUUGUUAUUCCUUCACCAUCCAAGACUGUAGCUAUUGGCUACUUUUCAGAACGCAUUAGCCAUGUUAACAAAUUGAAAUACAUCUCCGAGUUGACCUUCACAUACAUGCUCUAAAUAUUUCCCCAUCUUUGCUUAACGUGUAAAUGGAUAUAGUGGUAUAUGAAACUCAAAUUGUUUCUUUGAACAACAAAUGGAGUCGAUUCAAGCACCACAUGCUGGAAAUACUGCACCAUAGUGAGAUAAGGGGCAUCGCAUUCAGGAAACCUAAUGAUUCCAUAUACACCUUCCCAACCUGAUUGCAUGUGCCAGCAAGAUGGAAUAUGAUCUAGGCGUUAGCAUACAUAACUGAGGGAUGCAUUUCCUCUGCCUUUGUGCAACAAAGGCACCAAAGGCACGACAUGGUUGACUGCAUGAUCAGGAUUUGAUGGUCUUGAUGAAAACUGGAGUGAAAUAAAGCAUUUGGUGCUUCUCAGGAGAUUCUGAAACCCUCUGGCAUACCCCAAACCGUUUGAUUCUGGAUAUAAUGGUCAAAAGGUGCCUAAUGACAAUGAAUUUCAUAGGAUCGGAAAUUGAGAGGAUGCGAGGGAUUUUGUAAAGUUAGUAAUCUAUAGGUAGUCCACCAUAUAGCAAUCUCCAUUUGUUCAAUCUGUCUGUAGGUUGUAAAGAGAAAAGAGCUACGAGAUUGGGUUGUAGAUAUGAGUACAACCUAAGUGCCUCGAUGUAUAUUUGAAAAACAAGGGCUGACAACAACAAAGAAAGGAAUUUUUAGUAUAUCAUUACUCA